GACGGAGGAUGCAAGUGUUAUCCGGAAUCACUGGGCGUAAAGCGUCUGUAGGUGGUUCAAUAAGUCAACUGUUAAAUCUUGAGGCUCAACCUCAAAAUCGCAGUCGAAACUAUUAGGCUAGAGUAUAGUAGGGGUAAAGGGAAUUUCCAGUGGAGCGGUGAAAUGCGUAGAGAUUGGAAAGAACACCGAUGGCGAAGGCACUUUACUGGGCUAUUACUAACACUCAGAGACGAAAGCUAGGGUAGCAAAUGGG
rnacentral:rRNA from 1 species